rnacentral:rRNA from 1 species
CCUACGGGAGGCAGCAGUGAGGAAUAUUGGUCAAUGGGCGCGAGCCUGAACCAGCCAAGUAGCGUGAAGGAUGACUGCGCUACGGGUUGUAAACUUCUUUUGUAAAGGAAUAAAGUGAGGCACGUGUGCCUUUUUGUAGGUACUUUAUGAAUAAGGAUCGGCUAACUCCGUGCCAGCAGCCGCGGUAAUACGGAGGAUCCGAGCGUUAUCCGGAUUUAUUGGGUUUAAAGGGAGCGUAGAUGGGUUGUUAAGUCAGGUGUGAAAGUUUGCGGCUCAACCGUAAAAUUGCCAUUGAUACUGGCAGUCGUGAGAACAGUUGAGGUAGGCGGAAUGCGCGGUGUAGCGGUGAAAUGCUUAGAUAUCACGAAGAACUCCGAUUGCGAAGGCAGCUUACUAACCUGCCACUGACAUUGAUGCUCGAAAGUGUGGGUAUCAAACAGGAUUAGAUACCCCUGUAGUC